UACGUAGGGGGCAAGCGUUGUCCGGAUUUAUUGGGCGUAAAGAGCGUGUAGGCGGCCAGGUAGGUCUGCUGUGAAAACUCGGAGCUUAACCUCGAGCUGUCGGCGGAAACCAUCUGGCUAGAGUCCGGAAGAGGAGAAUGGAAUUCCCGGUGUAGCGGUGAAAUGCGCAGAUAUCGGGAAGAACACCCGUGGCGAAGGCGGUUCUCUGGGACGGUACUGACGCUGAGACGCGAAAGCGUGGGGAGCGAACAGG
rnacentral:rRNA from 1 species